rnacentral:rRNA from 1 species
CCUACGGGUGGCUGCAGUGGGGGAUAUUGCACAAUGGGGGAAACCCUGAUGCAGCGACGCCGCGUGGGUGAAGAAGCGCCUCGGCGCGUAAAGCCCUGUCAGCAGGGAAGAAAAUGACGGUACCUGAAGAAGAAGCCCCGGCUAACUACGUGCCAGCAGCCGCGGUAAUACGUAGGGGGCAAGCGUUAUCCGGAUUUACUGGGUGUAAAGGGGGCGCAGACGGCGAUGCAAGCCAGGAGUGAAAGCACGGGGCCCAACCACGGGACUGCUCUUGGGACUGCGUGGCUAGAGUGCAGGAGGGGCAGGCGGAAUUCCUGGUGUAGCAGUGAAAUGCGUAGAUAUCAGGAGGAACACCGGUGGCGAAGGCGGCCUGCUGGACUGCAACGGACGUUGAAGCCCGAAAGCGUGGGGAGCAAACAGGAUUAGAUACCCCAGUAGUC